AUUAUUUAGUUUUAAGUUCGUUUCGGAAAUUUCCUUAUCUAAAUUUUUACUGUGUUGUAUUUUCCACUACUUUAAGUGAAAUCGGUCACAAAAAAUAUAAAUGAGUUUUCCUUCCCAUCCAACAAAUAUUAUUCAAAACUAUUAAAUAUUAUCAACAACAAAAAAAAAGUAGCUGCUAAGAUAAACAUUUCAGUUCGGUGGAUAAUUUAAGAAAAUCGAAGAGUGGCAAAACAAAGCUCGACUAAGGCAUUUCUUUCCUCUACUUCAUCCGAGACCAUUUACAAAAUUUAGAGAUGUCGAUGAAUUUGAAAAUAGGACUUAAUGUGCAGGAACCAAUGUCUCUUAAUAAAUAUAAACCUAUGGAAAAGUUAAAUUUAGAUUCAAAAGAAGAAUUGUACCUUUUUGUAAAAAAUAUGACAACAUAUAACUAAUUAAGAAGAACGAAUUAAUUAGAACGAAUUAAUUAGAAGGAAAAAAGCAAUACUCAGUUUGAUGUCUGCGAUAUGAUCAGCAAGAAAGAAAAAAGUAAUCCUAUUAGAGCACUAAAGGAUUGUAAAUCUCAUUUAUAUGAGUUCAAAACUCAAUACAGAAAUUGCGGAUCAGGAAAAGACUUCUUUAGCUGUAUUAAAAAACGAUGCAAGAUAUCUUACGUAUAAGACUUUUAUUAUACGAUAUCUGGAGACAUUGGAACAAGCGCUUCCUAAAGUCGUAGAAAAAUAUCCUGGACUUAUUCAGUACAUUAAAGCCCAAGACGAGUUUCUUAAAUUAUUCUGCGAACAAGUGCAAAUAUUUUGAAAUUUACACUUAUAUUGUAAUUAAUUCGGAGUACAAGAACAUUUCUCUAUAUAAGGACAUAUAAUAUCAAAUAAAUAUACACUGAUUAUGGUGAAAUCAAUGAAAAAAACUUUAAAUCAAUAUUUAAAAAAACUUUAAAAACAAUUCCUUCAAUAUUCAAAAGCAUCAAAUGUGGGACGAAUAACAAAAAUUUUUGAAAUGGAAUGGAAUCGCUUAACAAAGAAAAAAAAUAUUUAAAAUAUAACAAAAUAUCAUUAAAUAAAAAAUUUAUAAAUGGAUUAGAUUCUAUACUGAUACUGAUUGGAUUUAAUCAAACGGCACAAUCAUAUACAUUUUUUUUGGUUACAUAAACGUUUUGAAACUAAUAAGAACUAAAUGUAGUCUUUUCGGUGAACCCGAUCCCGAAACCGUAUUGCUUAAUAAGGAAUAAGGAAUAAGGAAUACAACAAUAAUGUUCACUAGUUGAAGACUAAAAACUCUAAAUCAAAGCUUAUAAAGCAACCGCAACAAUUCACGAAAAAAUCAGAUAAGGAUCGAAUAAAAAAUUUAAAAACAGAAAAUAGUAAUUAAACGCUAACUUCGAGUUAAAUGAUGGAUAUUAAAGCAAUUUGAAGUAAAAUUCAUGAAGUUUAACAAUAGAAGCUACGUACAUUUGCACGGCAAGGCAUCAACUUGAUGGAAGAACAUACCUGACAAAUUUAGAAUAUUUUAAACUUUUUUUUUGAAUGGAUGCCUUAGUUUUAAAAAUUUACUUUAUUUAAACCAAUACCAUUGGAGAAUGG